AUUGAACGCUGGCGGCAGGCCUAACACAUGCACGUCGGGCGAGGGGCGGACGGGUGAGUAAUGUAUGGGGAUCUGCCUGAUGGAGGGGGAUAACUACUGGAAACGGUAGCUAAUAACGAAAUCAAUCAGAUGCACCCAUAUGGGAUUAGCUUGUAGGUAAGGUAACGGCUUACCUAGGCGACGAUCCCUAGCUGGUCUGAGAGGAUGAUCAGCCACACUGGGACUGAGACACGGCCCAGACUCCUACGGGAGGCAGCAGGGGGGAAUAUUGCACAAUGGGCGCAAGCCUGAUGCAGCCAUGCCGCGUGUAUGAAGAAGGCCUUCGGGUUGUAAAGUACUUUCAGUCGGGAGGCGUUACCGACAGAAGAAGCACCGGCUAACUCCGUGCCAGCAGCCGCGGUAAUUC
rnacentral:rRNA from 1 species